GGAGAGGUGUCCGAGUGGUUGAAGGAGCACGCCUGGAGAGCGUGUGGGGGGGAAACUCCACCCCGGGUUCGAAUCCCGGCCUCUCCGCCA
rnacentral:tRNA from 1 species